rnacentral:RNase_P_RNA from 1 species
CUAUUAGGCGAUCGCUUGUUUAGGAUACUAAAUAAGAGGAAAGUCCGGGCAACAUAGAGUACAACAGUCGCUAACGGCGACCGAGAGUGAAAUCUUAGGGAAAGUGCCACAGAAACGAUACCGCCUUAUAGGUAAGGGUGAAAGGAGUGAGGUAAGAGCUCACAGCUGGCUAUGGUGACAUAGCUAGGAGGUAAACCCUGUUGGUUGCAAGGAGGCCUAGUUACUCUUUUUAAAGAGGGAUUACUCGUCCAUAGACUAAAAACUGCUUGAUUGGGUAGGCAACUGCUCAACUAGAUAGAUGAUCGUCCACGACAGAACCCGGCUUAUCGAUAGGCU